rnacentral:rRNA from 1 species
AUUGAACGCUGGCGGCAGGCCUAACACAUGCGAGUCGAGCGGAUGACGGGAGCUUGCUCCUUGAUUCAGCGGCGGACGGGUGAGUAAUGCCUAGGAAUCUGCCUGGUAGUGGGGGACAACGUUUCGAAAGGAACGCUAAUACCGCAUACGUCCUACGGGAGAAAGCAGGGGACCUUCGGGCCUUGCGCUAUCAGAUGAGCCUAGGUCGGAUUAGCUUGUUGGUGAGGUAAUGGCUCACCAAGGCGACGAUCCGUAACUGGUCUGAGAGGAUGAUCAGUCACACUGGAACUGAGACACGGUCCAGACUCCUACGGGAGGCAGCAGUGGGGAAUAUUGGACAAUGGGCGAAAGCCUGAUCCAGCCAUGCCGCGUGUGUGAAGAAGGUCUUCGGAUUGUAAAGCACUUUAAGUUGGGAGGAAGGGUUGUAGAUUAAUACUCUGCAAUUUUGACGUUACCGACAGAAUAAGCACCGGCUAACUCUGUG